rnacentral:lncRNA from 1 species
GUGUGCAACGGAGUUCCACAUUAUUCAUCAAAGCAGAGAACUUAUAGAGGGGACAAGCUUUCCUUUUUUUGCCAUGAAAAGCUAGUACAUGUGGUGCUAAUGUAAUUGAAGAUGGUUGGAAUGCUAGAUGCAUCCCAGCUUGCUGCAGUUGCACAUGUGGGAUACCAAGGUAUGGCUGCUGCAAACACAAAGUCGUGUUUUCGUCAGUUUACUGUUAUUUAACUUUUGUUCCCUUUUCAUUUUUGUUGUCACCCACAAGGAUAUGUAAUUACAAUCUAAGGAAUUUUUUUUGCAUUUUUUUCCUUCUCACCUGAAUUGGGGUCUGCAAACUAUGCGGAGUUGGAGCCCAACUGUUCGGAAUUUUUUGUGCCAAAGUAUUCUUCGGAUGCUACACAAAAUGCAGGAAACAGUAUGUGUCAAUCUGAAUGCAUGAGAUAUCUUUUUUAUUUUUCUGCAUUAUACAAACAACCACAUUCAUCAGUUUUAUUAUGUGUCAAGGACAGAAAGAUUCAACUUUUUUUUCUUCAUUCUAUAAUUUUUGGGAAGCAAGGAAUGAAAGAUUCAAAUUUUCUCUGUCCAGAACAAGUGUUUCACCAUGCUAAGUAUAUUUUUUGGGUCAAAAUAGUGCAUUCAAGAUAGACAGUCUCCACCCCAAAGUGUAAAUCUGGGAAUCCAAGGAAUAGAUCAUAACUUUCAGCCAUGUCUGUUUCUACUGUGUGCUUUUUUUCCUGGAGCUUUUGUAGUAGUUUGACUGAACAUAUGGAAAAAGCACCAUCAUGGAAUUUACCAUCUGUUAAUCAACUACUACAUGUGCAGCAUGCUGAGACAGAAUGAACAACAUGCAGGUAUAUCUAUAAAAAAAUUGAAUUUUUUUCAGGCAGAUUGAACAACAUGCUGAGAUAGACGAAGUUUUCCCAUGAGUUUUUCUCAGAGACAAACAUGUGUGCCCAUCAGGAAAGUGCCAUACUGCUCCAAGAUUGCUGGGGAAAAAAAAUAAGAGAAGUAAGAAGGAAAUCACAAAUUUUUCAGAUCCAAAAUUAACAGGGGAAGAAGAACAUGAAAAGGGAGGAGCUGUAGAUGGAUCCAUGGAUGCAGCGGGGAGGGUUUUGCCUGGGUGGUGUUGUCACAAAGAAGGAACGAAGAACUGGCACAGGAACGAAAGUUUUUCCUGUCGUUUAGCUACAAAAAUGGGC